rnacentral:tRNA from 1 species
CGGUAGCUCAGUUGGACAGAGCGUUGGUUUCCUAAACCGAAGGUCGCAGGUUCGAUCCCUGUCCG